GACGAACGCUGGCGGCGUGCUUAACACAUGCAAGUCGAGCGGAGCGGCGAACGGGUGAGUAACGCGUGAGUAACUGCCCCCCUCUCUGGGAUAACAGUUGGAAACGGCUGCUAAUACCGGAUAGUGGGGGAUGACUCGCGUCCUAUCGGCUUGUUGGUGGGGUAGUGGCCUACCAAGGCGACGACGGGUAGCCGGCCUGAGAGGGCUACCGGCCACAUUGGGCUGAGAUACGGCCCAAACUCUUACUGGGGGAGGUAGUGGGGAAUAUUGCAGAAGGGGGGAAACACUGAGGCAGCAACGCGCGUGCGGUAUGACGGCCUGCGGGUUGUAAACCGCUUUCAGCCAUGACGCGGUAGUGGCAGAAGAAGCCCCGGCUAACUACGUGCCAGCAGCCGCGGUAAUUC
rnacentral:rRNA from 1 species